CCACGGGGGGCAGCAGUCGGGAAUAUUGCGCAAUGGAGGAAACUCUGACGCAGUGACGCCGCGUAUAGGAAGAAGUUUUUCGGAAUGUAAACUAUUGUCGUUAGGGAAGAGAAAGGACAGUACCUAAGGAGGAAGCUCCGGUUAACUCCGUGCCAGCAGCCGCGGUAAUACGGAGGAUCCAAGCGUUAUCCGGAUUUAUUGGGUUUAAAGGGUGCGUAGGCGGAUUGAUAAGUUAGAGGUGAAAUGUCCGAGCUUAACUCGGGAACUGCCUCUAAUACUGUUGAUCUAGAGAGUAGAUGCGGUAG
rnacentral:rRNA from 1 species